rnacentral:rRNA from 1 species
GUUAAUUAUAACAAGAAAGAUUUGAAUACGCGAAAUAAUUUGAGCUAACUACUUACACAUUUUAGAUUAAAUCAUUGCGUGUUGCAGAACGAAACCUAGAUAGGUAGUUAGGGGUGAUAGGCCAAGCAAAAAUUAAGAUAACUCGAUUUUAAGGAGAUAUAUUUAGUAUAAAGUCAAGUUUGGAGUGAUAAGGCUCUAAGUGGAAACUAACUGUUUUAAUAAUCGUGCUCAUAGCUUUAAUCGGCGAUGCACCUUGUAAUUUAAUAUUUAAGUAAGUAAAAUUGUUAAACAAUACUUAAACUGUAUAAUUAUGUAAUGUUAAUAAUGUUAACAUAAGUAAAGAAAUAGAUUAAUAAAAUGAACUCGGCAAUAAAUCUUUCAACUGUUUACCAAAAACAUAACUGCGUGAAUUAACUCGUAGCGUUUUCUGCUCAAUGAAUAUUAAAUGGCCGCAGUACCCUGACUGUGCAAAGGUAGCAUAAUCAGUUGGCUUAUAAUUGAAGUCUGGCAUGAAUGAAUACAUGGGGGAUUACUGUAUCUUAUUAAACUAUUGAAAUUAUUAAGUAAGUGAAAAUACUUACGUGUAAAUAAAAGACGAGAAGACCCUAGAAAUUUUAAUUACAUUUUGCUGGGGCGGCAUAGUAGCAUAGAACCUACAAUAAAGAACAUGAGUUUAAUGAAAAGGAAGAUUAAUUACUCUAGGGAUAACAGCAUAAUUUAUUAAAGAUUGUGACCUCGAUGUUGGACUAGGAAAUUUAGGCCUAGAAGGCGUGUAAUGUUGCUCUGUUCGAGC